CCCAGGACUUCUACUUCAACAACAAAUGUGGUUUUGGUUCCAAAUAAUCCAUAGUUAUAUUCAAAUACCUCCGUUUUGUUCGUGCGUUCAGGUCACUAUCCGAAGGGUAACGCGUGAGCGCAUUUCGUGACAAUUUUUUCUAAAAUAUUCCAUUACCGUACUUAGAAGCAUGUCAAACGCUGUUUAACCUGUUAGGGCUAGGGGGCAGUAUUGACACGGCUGGAUAAAAAAACGUACCCGAUUUAAUCUGGUUACUACUCCUGCCCAGUAACUAGAAUAUGCAUAUAAUUAUUGGCUUUGGAUAGAAAACACUCCAAAGUUUCUAAAACUGUUUGAAUAGUGUCUGUGAGUAUAACAGAACUCAAAUGGCAGGUCAAAACCUGAGAAGAUUCUGUACAGGAAGUACCCUGUCUGACCAUUUCUUGGCCUUCUUUGCCAUCUCUAUCCAUUACAAAGGAUCUCUGCUGUUACGUGACACUUCCUACGGCUGCGAUAGGCUCUCAGAAGGCGGCAAAAAGCUGAAUCGUGGCUUUGCAGGCUCUGGCUGAAAAAAAGUAGCGCGUUUGGGUAGUGGCUGGUUACAGUACUGUGAGACUCAGGCGCGUGCCCGCGUCGACCGAAUGCUUUGUUUUCUUUCCUCUGUUUACCUAAACGGAGAUUCCCGGGCGGAAUAUUAUCGCUUUUUUACGAGAAAAAUGGCAUAAAAAUGGAUUUUAAACAGCGGUUGACAUGCUUCGAAGUACGGUAAUGGAAUAUUUAUACAUUUUUUGUCACGAAUUGCGCCAUGCUCGUAACCCUGAUUUACCAUUUCGGAUAGUGUCUGGAACGCACGAACAAAACGCAGCUAUUUGGAUAUAACGAUGGAUUAUUUUGGACCAAACCAACAUUUGUUAUUGAAGUAGCAGUCCUGGGAGUGCAUUCUGACGAAGACAACAAAGUCCUAGGUGUGUCAUCUGAUGAAGAUCAUCAAAGGUUAGUGCUGCAUUUAGCUGUCUCCUGGGUUUUUGUGACAUUAUAUGCUAGCUUGAAAAAUGGGUGUCUGAUUAUUUCUGGCUGGGUACUCUGCUGACAUAAUCUAAUGUUUUGCUUUCGUUGUAAAGCCUUUUUGAAAUCGGACAGUGUGGUUAGAUUAACGAGAGUCUUGUCUUUAAAAUGCUGUAAAAUAGUCAUAUGUUUGAGAAAUUGAAGUAAUAGCAUUUCUAAGGUAUUUGAAAUUCGCGCCACGGGAUUCAACUGGCUGUUGCGUAGGUGGGACGAAUUCGUCCUGCCUAGCCCAGAGAGGUUAAAAUGUAUUUUUAUGCUAUUUUUCUCGUAAAAUAGCGAUAAUAUUCCAACCGGGCAACGUUGUAUUCAUUCAAAGACUGAAAGAAAAAAAUGGAGAAGUCUCGUGAACGCGCAUCUCAGUCUCACUGUCCCCAGGCUGACCACUUACAAACUCUGCUGCUGUACUUUGCCCAGAGACAGCAGACACCCCAUUCCACUUUCUGGCGGUUUUAGAGAGCCAAUAGAAGCCUUAGAAAGUGUCACGUUACAGCACAGAUGCUGUAUUUUUGAUAGAGAUGCAACAGAAGGACAACAAAUUGUCAGACAGGGCACUUCCUGUAUGGAAUCUUCUCAGAUUUUGGCCUGCCAUUUUCGACCCGAUGAUUCGUCUGACAAACAAAGAACUUUGCGUCCUGCAGGCCCAGAUCAAAGCUGUCGAGACAUUCAAUGACGUCAUCUUCACAGACUAAUCAACUCUGGCCCUUGAGCAAUUUGCUCAAAAUUGCUACAGAAAAAAGGAAGAAGAUCAAGCAAGCCGAUUCCCAAGCAUCUGCUCAAACUCCAUGUGUGGGGGGCAAUUUCUCGCCAGAGACCAGGCCCAUAUUUGAUUUGAUGGUAUCAUGGCUCGAGAUUUUUUUGAGGAAGAAAUCAUCAAGAGAUAUGCUGGACCCUAUGUCCGAGAGACAAUGACCCAAAACACACUGCCUCCUGGGUUUGCAUUGCAAAUGAGG
rnacentral:lncRNA from 1 species